rnacentral:rRNA from 1 species
ACUCAAAUGAAUUGACGGGAGCCUACACAAGCGGUGGAGCAUGUGGUUUAAUUCGAUAAUACGCGCAGAACCUUACCAAUUCUUGUUAAUUUUUUUAAAAAUUUUAAAUUUAAAAAAAACAGGUGUUGCAUGGCUGUCGUCAGCUCGUGUUGUGAAAUGUUUGGUUAAUUCCUUUAACGAGCGCAACCCCUAUUUUUAGUUGCUAAUUUAUUAAAUUUAAUAAAUGCACUCUAAAAAGAACGUCAAUGAUAGGUUGAAGGAAGGUGGGGAUGACGUCAAGUCCUCAUGGCCCUUAUGGAUUGGGCUACACACGUGCUACAAUGAUAAUGACAAUGAGAGGCAAUAAUGAUUUAAAAAUUGGAGCAAAUCUUUAAAAAUUAUCUAAGUUCGGAUUAAGGGCUGCAACUCGCCCUUAUAAAGUUGGAAUCGCUAGUAAUCGCAAAACAGCAUGUUGCGGUGAAUAUGUUACUAGGCUUUGUACACACCGCCCGU